rnacentral:rRNA from 1 species
GAUGAACGCUGGCGGCGUGCCUAAUACAUGCAAGUCGAGCGAACAGACGAGGAGCUUGCUCCUCUGACGUUAGCGGCGGACGGGUGAGUAACACGUGGAUAACCUACCUAUAAGACUGGGAUAACUUCGGGAAACCGGAGCUAAUACCGGAUAAUAUAUUGAAUCGCAUGGUUCAAUAGUGAAAGACGGUUUUGCUGUCACUUAUAGAUGGAUCCGCGCCGCAUUAGCUAGUUGGUAAGGUAACGGCUUACCAAGGCAACGAUGCGUAGCCGACCUGAGAGGGUGAUCGGCCACACUGGAACUGAGACACGGUCCAGACUCCUACGGGAGGCAGCAGUAGGGAAUCUUCCGCAAUGGGCGAAAGCCUGACGGAGCAACGCCGCGUGAGUGAUGAAGGUCUUCGGAUCGUAAAACUCUGUUAUUAGGGAAGAACAAAUGUGUAAGUAACUAUGCACGUCUUGACGGUACCUAAUCAGAAAGCCACGGCUAACUACGUA